GGAAGCGUGGCAGAGCGGCCGAAUGCACUCGCCUUGAAAGCGAGCGUCCCGCGAGGGACCGGGGGUUCAAAUCCCUCCGCUUCCG
rnacentral:tRNA from 1 species